UUCCUCUUAGCUCAGUUGGUAGGCGCGUCACUAGUACAACCAGUUGGUAUAGCUUCCAAAGUCUAUGACGAGGUCAGUCGUUCAAAUCGGCUAGCGGGAA